UUCUCCUUCGGUUCCCGCUGUGUUUGUUGUCCGUUCCCUUCUGUCCCCUCACUGAUCGUUGGUUGCAAUUUUAGGGUUCCGGCAGCGAUGCAUCCACCUCGUGCAGAACCUCCACCAUCGAGCCUCAUCGGAGCACCCUUUCUUACCGUUUAGGGUCUUUGAGUCCUCGGCCGAGUACGUUUACCCUUCGGCCGUAUGGCGUCUCAGGGUACUUCAAGUUUACUGUGUGGUGGAUAUCGUUGAUGAUGAUCUAUGAUCCACAAUUAUCUAGAGAAGAAGCUGUUACUAAAGGCGGUCGAGAUAAGAUGUGCUUUUCUCUUUGCCAUGCUUUAUCUACAGAAGUGAGCAUGAAGAGGGAGCACGAUCCUUUUGGUUUAUAGCACUUUUAAGUGUAGAAAUUCAAGUACAUUCUGCUAGACAAGUGCUUUCUUUCGUAGCUGUCACACUAUGGACUGCAACAAGGAAGAGGCUUUCAGAGCCAGGGAAAUUGCAGAGAGGAAGAUGCAAAACAAAGAUUUCAGUGGGGCACGAAAGAUUGCUGAAAAGGCUCAACGCCUAUUCCCUGUGCUUGAGAACAUCUCUCAGAUGUUAACUGUUUGUGAAGUUCAUUGCUCUGCCAAUGUCAAAGUUAAUGGAGAAAUGGAUUGGUAUGGAAUUCUGCAAGUGGAGCCAACAGCAGAUUAUUCAUCUGUCAGGAAACAGUACCGAAGGCUUGCACUUUUACUUCAUCCUGAUAAAAACCAGUUUGCAGGUGCUGAGCCUGCCUUUAAAUUGAUUGGAGAAGCACAUAUGACUUUGUCUGAUCAAGAAAAACGACACCUUUAUGACAUCAAAAGGAAUGCUACCUUCAAACCUGCCCUGUCCGGACAGUUGGCCCCACAGAUGAGGAAGAGCUCUUAUGCUGCUACAAGUGGUUUUAGCGCUGUGAACUUUAAUGGUUUAAACCUACAACAGCAGCAACCAUCAUGUUUUGCUGCUGCCCAGACUUUCUGGACUAUCUGCUCUGGUUGUAAAAUUAGAUACCAAUACUAUCAGAGCAUAUUGAACAAGUCCAUCUGCUGUCAGAAUUUUUUGAAACCUUUUGUUGCACAUGAUUUAAAUGCAGAAGCUGUACCUUCUGAGGAAAACAUAGGCCAAUCAUGGAUCGAUUCUGGAAACCCACAGCAGCAGAUUCCAGUUGAGCAAACUAACAAUGUCCACUGGCACAAUCAUCCUGAAAGUACCUCUUCUCAUAUGGGCCUUAAGGUAAGUUUAAGUGGAGGGUUAGAGAUCAAAAUUGAGCAUGGAGGUGGUGGACCUGCAAAUGUGGCAACAGAUGUCAAGAUGAAUGAUAAAGGUGGUGAAAGUAGUGAGGUUAAGUUUGGAAAAAUGAACACCAAGGAAACAAAUCAUGGAAAGCAGGCUGCUAAGCCUUCAACUGCAAAUUCUAGUCAGAAGAGGGCCAGAGUGGUGGCUGCCAUGGAUUCAGAUGGCACCAGUGUUGAAGACAUAGCUAUUGAGGUUGAUGGUCAUCAAGCAAAGCAUUUGUCUUCAUUUUUUGCCCCAAGAAGGUCGGGCAGGCUCAAGAAAAAUAUUAACUAUAACAAAGUCGGAAAUGAAGAUGAUUUUAACUUUGUAAGUCCUCCACAUUGUAAAAUGUUGAGGGGUGACUUACUAGGUGGUGCUGAUGGGCAUGAAACUGAAAUUUCUCAUGCUAAUGCUGAUAGGGUUACUUCAGGAGUCGAUGUUACUAAUUUUGCUGAUGACAAUAUGGAGAACAACCAUAAAGAAGAUGCCCGCUCUGAAGAGAAACAACCAUGUGCAAGUAAAGGGGUUAAAAUAGGAGACAGCAAACAAGACACAGUUAUGAAGGAGAAGUCAGGGACCAGAACCGAAUGGAAUCUUAAUUCUACCUCCAACACCUUACCUGAACAUGGCAGAGUCACGUAUCCUGAUACAGAAUUUUGGGACUUUGAAGAGCUUAGGCAUGAAAAUGCAUUUGCAGUUGAUCAGAUAUGGGCUGUUUAUGAUAAUCUGGAUGGGAUGCCUCGAUUCUAUGCACGAAUUCGUCAUGUUUAUGCUCCACAUUUCAAGUUGCGGCUUGCUUGGCUUGAGCAUAAUCCCUUAAAUGAAGUUGAGAUGGCUUGGUCUGAUGGGGAUUUGCCAGUCGGUUGUGGGAAUUAUAUACUUGGAUCCUCACAGUUUACUGAAGACCGGUUGAUGUUCUCACAUGUUGUGUCUUCGGAAAAAGGGAAAAGAAGGAACUCAUAUACUAUAUAUCCUAGAAAGGGUGAGGUUUGGGCUCUUUUCAAGGACUGGAAGAUUGGGUGGAGCUUUGAUGCUCAAAAUAAGCUCUAUGAUUAUGAAGUUGUAGAAGUCCUUUCAGAUUUUGCAGCGGCAAGUGGAAUUAGUGUGAUUCCCUUAGUUAAGAUAGAAGGAUUUGUGAGCUUGUUUAUGCGAGCAAAAGAGAAGCGUAUGGCCCCAUACGAGAUACCACCCAGUGAAAUUCUUAGAUUUUCUCAUAACAUCCCUUCUUACAGGUUGACUGGGACAGAAAAAGAAAGUAUUCCUCAAGGUUGUCUGGAACUUGAUCCUGCAUCUCUUCCUACCAACUUUUCAGAGUCAUUUCCUUCUAUUAGUUUCUGCAGCAAUACAAGUAGAAUUGGGAAUUUGAAUGAAUUUAGUGGUUUGCGUUUUAGGCCCACAACCGACGAGGAGGAACCUGGACUUAGUAUGGAGAACGACAUAAGUCAGAGUUCGUCUCCUAAUGGUGUGAAGUGUGUUGGUGAUGCAAAACAAUAUCAAACAACUGAAAUCCACCAUUCAGACGCUUGGAGGAAUGCCCAAAAUGGUACAGACCAGUCUGAAACAGCGAAUAUUGUGGAAGACAACUUAGAUGCCAGAGACAUAAAUAAUAAUGCUGCUGAAAAUGAAAAUUUGUCUUCAAUGUCAUCUUUAAGCCCCCUCACCUACGAAUGUCCUGAGGCAGAUUUUCACAACUUUGACCAACAGAAGUUGAUUGGAAACAUCCAACGAGGUCAGAUUUGGGCAGUUUACAGUGACAUAGAUAAGUAUCCCAAGUACUAUGCACAGGUAAAAAAGGUUGAGUUGGAAGAAUAUAGAGUGCAUGUGGCAUGGCUUGAGGCCUGCCCUGUGUUAGUGGAGCAGGUACGAUGGAUAGAAGAGGGCAUGCCGAUUGCAUGUGGAACAUUUAAAGUGGAACGACAGAGCAUGAUAUUCGAUAACGUUGAUAUAUUUUCUCAUCUUGUACAGGCUAAACCAGCUGGUAAAAGAAAUCAAUAUGUUAUUCUUCCUAGCUGUGGUGAGAUUUGGGCGGUUUAUAAGAAUUGGAAUGCUAAUUGGAAGCAUUCAGAUUUGGAAAAUUGUGAGUAUGAUGUGGUGGAGAUUUGUGAAUGUACUGAUGCUGGCAUGAAAGUUAGGCUUUUGAUGAAGGUUAGUGGUUAUAGAUCUAUUUUCAAACCUGAAAUAGAAGGAAAAGCUGUGACCAUGGAGAUCCCUAAUGAUAAAUAUAUUACAUUUUCUCAUAAGAUACCUGCAUUCCGACUAACAAAUGAAAUAGGAGGAAAACUGCAGGGCUACUGGGAACUGGACACUGCAUCUGUACCCGAAAUUUUACUGUUCUCAGACAAUGAACGAUGUCGGAAGUAGACAUUAUUCAGCAGCUUAUGGGGAACUUUUGAUUACAUUGCAGAAGCCACAGUUGAAUAGAUUGUUUUUUUUUCUUUGUUCUUGCUGAUACACAGACAGCCUGCAGUUUUGCACAAGCGGCUGGCUGCAUUGGAGGAUGCAGAUCACGAUUUUUAAACACACUUUGCAGGUUGGAAUAUUUUUUUCUCUAUUCUCCAGCAUCAUUGUUUUGUAGGUUAGUUUAGGUUUGCCUUUAGCUUUAAAGCAGCCAUGGAUAGAUGUUGUCUCAAUACACUUAAUAUAUGGAGUCGGAGAUUUAGGCAUUCGUCUCGAUUCUGUUUGCUUCUUCCUCUUUUUAAGUGUCUUUGAAACCCUACCUCUUUAACAGUUCUACAGUGUCUAUUGUUGUGCUCAUUGUUGUAUGGCUUUCGGAAAUUCGUGGAUGUAACUGUCGUGUUGAUGCCCUAACAAACAAGAUUUAGUCUCACAUUUGAAAACAAGUUGAUGAAGACUUGAAUUUACUCAUUUGAAUUUGAUGGAAUGCUUUUGUUUA